rnacentral:rRNA from 1 species
AUGCUUCUAUCUAGCAUUUGGCUUCUGUUUCUCGAUUUCUUGGACAAUGUUUUUCUCUCUUUUGAGAAUCAUCAAAUUUCACAAAGGUUGCUUGUGUUGUCAAAUAUGAACUAUUUAUUAGGAUCCAUUUCUGUACUACUAAUGUCUAUUGCCUUCUCCAUGCAUCCAGCAGUGUACAGGACGUCCUCCUCCUCAAAGCGUCCAUCCAUGACGAGCUCCCUUCGCUGCAGGAGGAGCAGCAAGUCCAGCACCUGCUUGUCUCCUGUGUCCUAUAGCGCGUGGACAAGCUCACCAAUGGAUGCGUCUUCCUUCCCUCCUACCGUGGUGAGCUUAUCCCCUCUCCCCACUUUAACCCUAAAUCUGGAUGACACUUGCAAUCUGAAUACAAAUCAUGUUUUGCUUCAGUUUAGAGGUGGAUUCAGUUUCUGA